rnacentral:rRNA from 1 species
UGUCAAGUCCUCAUGGCCUUUAUAUCCAGGGCUACACACGUGCUACAAUGGGCUGUACAAAAGGUUGCGAACCCGCGAGGGUAAGCCAAUCCUAUAAAGCAGUUCUAAGUUCGGAUUGGAGUCUGCAACUCGACUGCGUGAAGUCGGAAUCGCUAGUAAUCGUGGAUCAGCAUGUCACGGUGAAUACGUUCCCGGGUCUU